GACGAACGCUGGCGGCGUGCUUAAUACAUGCAAGUCGAACGGAAAGGCCCUGCUUUUGUGGGGUGCUCGAGUGGCGAACGGGUGAGUAACACGCGAGUAACCUGCCCUUGACAUUGGGAUAACUCUAGGAAACUGGGGCUAAUACCGGAUAGGAGCUCCUGCUGCAUGGUGGGGGUUGGAAAGUUUCGGCGGUUGUGGAUGGACUCGCGGCUUAUCGGCUUGAUGGUGUGGUAGUGACUUACCAAGGUUUUGACGGGUAGCCGGCCUGGGAGGGUGGCCGGCCACCUGGGGCCUGAGGGACGGACCAGACUCCAACGGGAGGCAGCGGUGGGAAAUAUUGCGCAGUGGGCGGAAGCCUGAUACGGCGACGCCGCGUGCGGGAUGACGGGCUUCGGGUUGUAAACAGAUUUCGCCUGUAACGAGGCGUUAGUGACGGUAAUGAGUAAGGAAGCACCGGCUAACUACGUG
rnacentral:rRNA from 1 species